UCUUGUGCAGGGGUCUCCCCUUGGUUCCUUAGCUUUGGAUCCAGUGAGUCAUAUAUGCAUGUUGCUUUGUCUUGUUUCCUGUACACCAUCCAUGACACCCUAGUGUUCUGCAGUUAAGGAACGGUGCCUGGAGGGGGAUACUCUGCCAGACUGCAUGAGUGACCAGAAGAAGACGCUGAGAUGGGAUACUCAGCAAACCCUCAAACCCUUCUGUCAGGGGGGAGACUGGAGAAGACAACCCUAUGCCUUGCCCGUAUUGUUUUGCACCUGUAUUUUUCCAGUAAAGAAGCACACUGGUUUACUGCAGACCCUGGCUCUAUGGACUUAAUUCCCAUUGGGGUGCAUCUUACCAUCCCUUCUGAAGAGCAGCAACGCAUGGUGACACUUCGACGGAGUCUGGGGGACACACAGAGUUUCAGCGCUACUGCAGUGCCAGUCUGUGAUGAAUGAGAAGAUCGGACCUGUUUAAAAGAAUCACAUAAUACAUUUUUGCUGUGAUUGGAUGAGGUUAUAACUUGGAUAUUGGCAUGCUCUUCAUCUUGUAUGCUACCACGAUCAUCUACUUCAAAAUCUGAAGAUAGCGGAUGUUUCUCUAAGUUCCUGGUACAGUCAU